CUUCGGGUUGAUAACUAGGCGGCGAUCUCGAUCUUCAAACGACGUCCGCCCUUUAAGUACCCGAUAUAUUGAGAUUUGUUUUUUAAACAAGGCGGAGAUCUUACAAGUUUCCGGAUUUUAUUUUUCUGUGUUUGGUGAACUUUUAAAUCUUCGUAACAUUG
rfam:Aspergillus flavus NRRL3357 scf_1106286418772 genomic scaffold, whole genome shotgun sequence.